CAUAUGAACACUAUAGCAGCAGCAGUGACACACUGGAGAGUCACUGUGCCAGGAAAUGAGUGCAGGUGACAGUCUGUGUGGAGGAACAGUACUCAUUACUGGGGAACUGAGGUUUACUGUAUCUAACAUUCCCAGAAUUCCCUGGGCCCCCACUGACCUGUCAACACAUUCCUAAAGCUCCAUCCACUCUCUAAUUGGCUGCGACAUCAAUGCAUCCUGGUCCUGAUUGGCUCUCCUCUGAAAGCGCUGAGGCAACAUAGAACUUUACCAGCUCUGUUUACACGCAUCCCCUGUUGCCGUGACAACAUUGAAUGUUGCAAUGCAGCGAGUGCCUUGAAGCUCUGUCAUAUUUUUAUCCUGCAGAACCUCUCAACAUGAAUCAUUAUGUCACUAAGAAGAGUGUGGCAGAGAGCAUGCUGGAUGUGGUGCUGCUGAUGGCUAACGCCUCCCAGCUGAAAGCUGUCCUGGAGCAGUGCCCCGAGUUCAAGUACUACCUCACUGUCAUCAUCCUAAUCGCCGUGUCACUCUUCUUCCAAGUGCUCACGGAGGCUCUCUUUUUCCACAUGGGUGAGAGUGAAAUACAUCAUGUAUUAUACACAAAACGUGUAAGGUACUUAGAGGGUUGAUUUUGGUUAGCACAAAUCCAAAUCAGAUGUUUUAUAUUUAGAGAUUCCUUUUCAUACAAUCUUCCCUUUUCAGCAUGCAAAAACCUGAAUGACGUGGCCAAUCAGAGGAAGCUGGACAUAAUAAACAAUGUGGCAACUGUGCUGGUGUUUCUCACCGUCAUCAUCAACAUCUUCAUCACUGCUUUUGGAGUGGAGAAGACAGGUCUCUAUCCUAAGCAGUAAAAUGUUUGUGGGAUCAAACAGGUGAUACAGAAGAAAUCCCAAUGUUGAAUAUGUAUGCCACAAUAUGAUAAGCAAAUUGACUGAAUAAUGGUUUUUAUUUAUUUCUACGGAGGGCAUUAUAUUAAAGGGUUUAUAAAACAACAUACAUUUUUCAUAGACUGUCUAGUGAUUUAUAUUACCUAAAUUUACAUAUAAUGCAAAUUCAUCAUCUGUGUUCUUUACUUCAUACUGUCACAACUAUUAAUAAACAUUUAUUAUUAAAUACUCAAAUGUUUACCAUCCAGUUUAAUCUAUUUAAUUGAUCUCUGGCUCCUUUUCUGUAAAAAUGUCUAUGGAAUGUCCCCAUAAAACACGAAAACCCAACAAAUGUGUGCGUGUGUGUGUGUUUGUGUGUUUUAUACAGUACAACGGAGAUCAGAAUAGAG